GGGCCUUUAGCUCAGUUGGUUAGAGCAACCGGCUCAUAACCGGUCGGUCCCGGGUUCAAGUCCCUGAAGGCCCACCA
rnacentral:tRNA from 6 species